rnacentral:rRNA from 1 species
UACGAAGGGGGCUAGCGUUGUUCGGAAUCACUGGGCGUAAAGGGCGCGUAGGCGGCUUUAUAAGUCGGAUGUGAAAGCCCCGGGCUCAACCCGGGAAGUGCACUCGAUACUGCGUAGCUUGAGUCUCGGAGAGGUUGGUGGAAUUCUCGGUGUAGAGGUGAAAUUCGUAGAUAUCGAGAGGAACACCGGUGGCGAAGGCGGCCAACUGGACGAAGACUGACGCUGGAGACACGAAAGCGUGGGGAGCAAACAGG